UACGUAGGCAGCGAGCGUUGUUCGGAGUUACUGGGCGUAAAGAGUGCGUAGGCGGUUUUCUAAGUUUGGUGUGAAAUCUCCCGGCUUAACUGGGAGGGUGCGCCGAAGACUGGAAGGCUUGAGUAUGGGAGAGGUAAGCGGAAUUCCUGGUGUAGCGGUGAAAUGCGUAGAUAUCGGGAGGAACACCGGUGGCGAAGGCGGCCCCCUGGUUGGAUACUGACGCUGAGACGCGAAAGCGUGGGGAGCAAACAGG
rnacentral:rRNA from 1 species